GAAUGGAUCAAAGAACCUGAAUGCAUAACGAUUAGAACAACGAAUGAUGAACAAAGUUGAAGGAAAAAACGCAAAAAUUUACAGAGGGAAGGAGAGAAAAGAAAAAUGUCAGGAAAAAAGGUUUUUGGAAAAAAGAAUAAAAAUUAAAUUAAAAAAUAAGAAAUAAAAAAUUAAAUCCUACAAAAUCCAAACUCCCCCGAAAUCGACCCACUAGCUCAUCCAACUACUACAGAGUACUAGUUCCAUCCAACUUCUACUGUACAGCUGAC
rnacentral:lncRNA from 1 species